rnacentral:rRNA from 1 species
CCGUAGGUGAACCUGCGGAAGGAUCAUGUUGUCCAAGGCUGCCGCCCCCAUUGUGCGCCCCAAGGUUGCCUUUGGUGGGUUGGCCAACCUAACCUCUGAAAGUGCUUCGUGCACGUUAAACGGACCGAGGGCGUGGCUCCGGCCGCACGGCUUCGGCCGUGUCUAUUAAACCUCAACAGAACUACCUUCUGUUUGAACCUUUACAACUAGUAGCACUGGAUCCCUUGGCACGUCAUUCGAUGAAGAACGUAGCAAUCUGCGAUAAGUGGUGUGAUAUGCAAGUCCACAGCUUAUACGUGAACCAUCGAAUCUUUGAACGCACUGCACUAUCCGGACGACACCCCCGUGAUAGUAUGCCCCAUUGAGCGUUAUUUGUCCGUUCAGACGCCAUCGUGUUUGCUCACCUUGGUGGAUGAGUUCGAGGUUCACACUUUUUGUGCGCUCCUUGAGAUCCAUUAGCAACCGAAAUCCUAAUCGGUGCCCAUCCUGUGAUGAUUUUGCAGGCCGAGGUCCGUUGGGUUGGUGCUGAUAGUCGCCCUCGUUGGCAAAACCGGCGCUUGCGCCCUCAUUCUGUACAUAACCUCAGUGGGGUAGGAUUACCCGCUAGACUUAAGCAUAUUAAUCAGCGGAGGAAAAGAAACUAACAAGGAUUCCCCCAGUAACUGCGAGUGAAGAGGGAAUAGCUCAAUGUGUGAAUCUGGCGGA